AUUGAACGCUGGCGGCAGGCCUAACACAUGCAAGUCGAGCGGCAGCGGGAAAGUAGCUUGCUACUUUUGCCGGCGAGCGGCGGACGGGUGAGUAAUGCCUGGGAAAUUGCCCAGUCGAGGGGGAUAACAGUUGGAAACGACUGCUAAUACCGCAUACGCCCUACGGGGGAAAGCAGGGGACCUUCGGGCCUUGCGCGAUUGGAUAUGCCCAGGUGGGAUUAGCUAGUUGGUGAGGUAAUGGCCCACCAAGGCGACGAUCCCUAGCUGGUCUGAGAGGAGGAUCAGCCACACUGGAACUGAGAGACGGUCCAGACUCCUACGGGAGGCAGCAGUGGGGGAUAUUGCACAAUGGGGGAAACCCGGAUGCAGCCAUGCCGCGUGUGUGAAGAAGGCCUUCGGGUUGUAAAGCACUUUCAGCGAGGAGGAAAGGUUGAUGCCUAAUACGUAUCAACUGUGACGUUACUCGCAGAAGAAGCACCGGCUAACUCCGUGCCAGCAGCCGCCGUAACAC
rnacentral:rRNA from 1 species